CGCAGCCGCGGUAAUUCCAGCUCCAAUAGCGUAUAUUAAAGUUGUUGCAGUUAAAAAGCUCGUAGUUGAAUUUCGGGAUCAGUUGAUCGGUCGUGCCUCGGUACGUACUGGUCAAAUUGAUUCCUACCUUCUGACGAACCACGAUGUCAUUAAUUUGGUGUCGUGGGAAAUCAGGACUGUUACUUUGAAAAAAUUAGAGUGUUUAAAGCAGGCUCGCGCUUGAAUACAUUAGCAUGGAAUAAUGAAAUAGGACGUUUGAUUCUAUUUUGUUGGUUUCUAGGAUCGACGUAAUGAUUAAUAGGGAUAGUUGGGGGCAUUAGUAUUCAAUUGUCAGAGGUGAAAUUCUUGGAUUUAUUGAAGACUAACUACUGCGAAAGCAUUUGCCAAGGAUGUUUUCAUUAAUCAAGAACGAAAGUUAGGGGAUCGAAGACGAUCAGAUACCGUCGUAGUCUUAACCAUAAA
rnacentral:rRNA from 1 species